CUGAAUAUGAGGAUGAUGUUUAAUGACAUUCUCUUUAAAUCAGGAUGACGACAUAUGUUCGCCUAUGCAAAAUACAAAAACCAUAUGUCACAGUCUAGCACUCUGCCUAUUUGCUUUAUCUGGCAAAGUUGUCUAUGCCCCGCCGCGGUUUCUUUCAAUCGCUUUGUCCGGACUCUGAAACACGAGGCCCAUAAGGGGAGCUUUGCAAGUGCCAUGACUGAAUAGCUCUGCUCACAUCUAGCACACCCUAUACGAGCGGGUCACGCGUGGUUGCGGGCAUCUCAUAACAAAGGAGUCUACAUUCUUUCUGUUGCCGUUUCAGGAAAUUCGAGGAGAACCCGUACCACAUGCCAAAAGAACUGGAAGGAUCCGUAACGGGUUUUGACAGCAACGAGUCGGGACUUGACCUGAGAAGAUGGAAUGCGGACAGGAAGAAGGAGUUCGUGAUCGAGUCCAUUGCCGAUGAGCUCAAGAGGGUAAAGGAGGCGCGUGCCAAGGGGCAGCAGCUUCACGUGCUUGCUGGAGACGGACACUGAUAGUUGCAUGAUGCACAGCAAGCCCGAAGACGCCUCCACUUCGCUCCGGACGAGGCAUUAUGCUGCAAUUAUUAUUUUAGUUUUGUUUUUGUAUUUGGAAUCUUGUACGUUAUUUACAUUGUCCAUUUCACCUUAUUUUGUUCACGCAAUUGUGAAAGCACUUUGUCCAAUUCACACCUAGUCAAUACGUCAGGCCUAACGCCACUGCCUUUCUCUCCUUUGGGCCUUCAUUUGUGCUCUAAAUGUACUAUAAAGAACCACAGCAACUCUUACGGGAGAAAUAAGAAAGCUGUCAGCAGAAA